GAUGAAGAACGUAGUGAAAUGCGAUAAGUAGUGUGAAUUGCAGAAUUCAGUGAAUCAUCGAAUCUUUGAACGCACAUUGCGGCCAUAGGUAAUCCUUUGGCCAUGCCUGUUCGAGCGUCAUUUACACCCUCAAGCCUAGCUUGGUGUUGGGCGUCUGUCCCGCCGUUUUCGCGCGCGGACUCGCCUCAAAGUCAUUGGCGGCGGUCGUGCCGGCCCCCUCGCGCAGCACAUUUGCGCUUCUCGGAGGCCCGGCGGAUCCGCGCUCCAGCAAGACCUUUCACGACUUGACCUCGGAUCAGGUAGGGAUACCCGCUGAACUUAAGCAUAUCAAUAAGCGGAGGA
rnacentral:misc_RNA from 1 species